AUUGAACGCUGGCGGUAUGCCUUACACAUGCAAGUCGAACGGUAGAGGGGCGACCCUUGAGAGUGGCGAACGGGUGAGUAAUACAUCGGAACGUGCCCAGUCGUGGGGGAUAACGUAGCGAAAGCUACGCUAAUACCGCAUACGACCUGAGGGUGAAAGCGGGGGAUCGCAAGACCUCGCGCGAUUGGAGCGGCCGAUGGCAGAUUAGGUAGUUGGUGGGGUAAAGGCCUACCAAGCCUGCGAUCUGUAGCUGGUCUGAGAGGACGACCAGCCACACUGGGACUGAGACACGGCCCAGACUCCUACGGGAGGCAGCAGUGGGGAAUUUUGGACAAUGGGCGCAAGCCUGAUCCAGCAAUGCCGCGUGAGUGAAGAAGGCCUUCGGGUUGUAAAGCUCUUUUGUCAGGGAAGAAACGGGCGUGGCUAAUAUCCAUGUCUAAUGACGGUACCUGAAGAAUAAGCACCGGCUAACUACGUGCCAGCCGCCGCGGUAACAC
rnacentral:rRNA from 1 species